AUUGAACGCUGGCGGCAUGCUUUACACAUGCAAGUCGAGCGGCAGCGCGGGGGCAACCCUGGCGGCGAGCGGCGAACGGGUGAGUAAUGCAUCGGAACGUAUCCUCGAGUGGGGGAUAACCCAGCGAAAGUUGGGCUAAUACCGCAUGAGCUCUGAGGAGGAAAGCGGGGGACCUGCGAGGGCCUCGCGCUGGAGGAGCGGCCGAUGUCCGAUUGGCUAGUUGGUGGGGUAAAGGCUUACCAAGGCGACGAUCGGUAGCUGGUCUGAGAGGAUGAUCAGCCACACUGGGACUGAGACACGGCCCAGACUCCUACGGGAGGCAGCAGUGGGGAAUUUUGGACAAUGGGGGCAACCCUGAUCCAGCCAUGCCGCGUGAGUGAAGAAGGCCUUCGGGUUGUAAAGCUCUUUCGGACGGAACGAAAUGAGCGGGACUAAUACUCCUGUCUGAUGACGGUACCGUAAGAAGAAGCACCGGCUAACUACGUG
rnacentral:rRNA from 1 species